AGCCCAAUCAGUGCAGGCAGAGCACGGGCUCCCUGUCUACCCAUCCAUCUGCCCAUGCCCUCACCGCUUUUCCUCCAGCCCUGGAACCCGCUGGCCCUUCGGCUCUGCUGCGUUAAGGAAGGAAGACCAGAAGGGAGGGUGGUGCUCACCCAUCCCAGGACAUACUCAUCCUUGAGCAUCACAUUCUUCGCAGGAAGGUUCACCAAAUGACUCAGCUGGACAGAGCUGAAUCCAGUCCAGGACAUCACAGAAGUCAGGAGGAACCGCAAAAAGGAACUGCUGUCAUUGCCUCCUUAUUUUGCUGAUGUGUGAGUGCUGAAGUCAGCUCUGGGACAGACGUGGGGCUCACCUCAAAUAAGGUCACCGACAACCAGAGGAAGAAACCCUGGGGUGCCUGCAUGCAAAUCCCUCUGUUCAGCUCAUUGCUUCAGUGAUAGAUGGAUCCUGGAUGGUGCACAUACCCAUUUUGCACGCUUAUCACAGGACAAGGGAGAGAAGCUCGCGCCUCCUACUCUCCAUUUUACCUGGGAUGGGACCAGUGUGCUUUCUAAAGGAGAAGCAGCCUGCCCUUCUGCUGUGGGCAUGAGAAGGGUGAUGAAGAAGGGAAAAUUAGGGGAAAACAGCUUUCCUUCAGCAGCAUCUCCCUUGCAAAUGCUCCUCGCCCCACAUCCAGAAGUUUGCCAGAGCUGGGUGAGUCUCUGAUAUAAAGCUGAUUUCCUCCCCUGGCGGCAGCAGCGGAUGCAGAGAACAAUAGGUACGGUGCCUGCUCAGGGGACAACUCCUGCUCCCUUGUGCCGUGCCCAGCCCUCAGCUGGGGAUGGAGGGACCCACCCGAGGGGAAAGCCAGCUCCAGAGGAGUGGUUUGGAAAGGAACAUUGCAAAAAUUCAUGGAAAGCUGUGAUUGAGCGAAGAAUGAGGUCGCGCAGCCGUUCCAGGAAAGGUGCAGCAAGAUAUGUGUUUACUGCAGAAAUUCUAUGGAAUGGGUAAAAAUAAAAGAAUCUCACCUCUGGGAAGGUGCAGGAGGUCAGAAGAACCUGAGAGCAAGCAGUCACAGAGCUGUGACCUGUCCCAGGAGCCCCUUUUUGGUGCCUGGUCACUGAUGUGAGGCUGCUUAUUGCAAAACCUGCAGUGGGACGUAUCCAGUUAUCACUGUCUCUGGGUAAUGUAGAUAAAACGUUUGCUUUUUUAUUUUUACCUCAGUAAGUCCUUAAUCCUCCCAACGUGGGCUGACUGCAUCUGGUUGCUCAUCAGCAUCCACCCUAGGCCACCACAGCCUCAGGAUCUAUUUGGGAUUCCACACCUCCCCAAAAGCUGUUCUCCAGUUUGGCUGGUGCAGUUAUCCAUCCCAAAUGCGGCUCUUUACUUCUCCAGGUUUGGUCUAGCUCCUUCCAAAUGAUCACUGUGAAUUUAUUCAGAUCGUUGCUAGUCGUCUGCCUUCCAGACGCCUUGCAGCCCUCCCAGCCCAGAGUUACUGUAAUGCACUCUUCAGUCGAUCAUCUGCGCUGCUAACGCAAAUUGUGUAUGCCUGGGCACCAGACCCCUUGCAGUCUGGCAGAGAGUAUCCAGAGCCAUAUACUGAGCAUGAGAUGUCUCCUGUGCGUUGUGUACCCACUGCAUGGCCUUCGCCUGCCUCUUGAGGGUGACCAGGAGAUGUGGGAUGAGCAGUCUCUGAGCUUUGGGGAUGCAGCACAUCCUUUCCAUGCAGUGUCAGAGGUUAGCCAUGUUUAGCUAUUUAGAGCUUGGCAGUGAGUAGGAAGGAGGGAGAAAGCAUAAGGGACAGGCGUAUGUUCUCAGAUGCUCCAUAACGAUGUCAUCCGAGGAUGAUUUACAUCGGAGCUGGGACAUAUGGUGUGCUUUAUCACCAGGAUGCGUGCUGCCACCUGAUUACAUGCCCACAUUUCUUCUUCUUGGCUUUACACCUCGCUCAUUCCCUGCGGAGGCACUGGGUAUGGGUCCUCAAAGUGGAGCAAUACUGUCCUUGGGUUGUGGGAUGUCUGAAAGGGGGUUCCCUGCAGACAUCUCCUGGCCUUGGUCUGCACUCAUCUUGGCCUCUGGGAGCUUGCUGGGGAGCCAAUGCAUCUCUUAGCUCCCAGGUGCUAAAAUCCAUCAGGAUUGGCUCCUGGGAAGGGAAAAAGCCAAGGAUGAGGGUAACUGGGGAAAACUGAUGGCAUUAAACAUGUCAUCAUGUUUACUGUUGGCUAGAAAUGAUUGACGUUUUUCUACAUUGUUCCUACACAUUUGCCUAACUUGUUCUUAAGUGUUUCCAGUGCUGUACACCUUUACUUCCCAGGCUAAUUCAUACCUGUCCUUAAUUAACCCUGUCAUUAGGGAGGUCUCCUCAAGUGUCACACACAUGUGCUGCGCUUUGAUCCACCAUAUCACAUCCUACCCAUCAUAGACAAGGAGAACCAUGCACUCCUUUCCCUGAAGGGACAUUCUGCCUCUGAGGUCUGUUGGAAAGGCUCCCCUCUCUUUCUUUUUGCCCGUUUCCUUCAGUUCUUCAUCAUUGGGUUCUGUUUUCAUCAUCUUUCCUUCAACCUAUGGCGCUCUGCCCACUUUGGAUCCUCCCAUGGCACUCCAGCUGAGAUUUCAACAGGGGUGAGCCAUACCAAAGGGCAACUCAGUGUGCUUCACACCCAACCACUGUGUUAACUCAUCCCAUCUAACAGGAAAGAAAACACUGCUGGCUUUCAUGGCCCUGUUGUAUUGGUGAAGAUGGAUAUGAUGGUGAAGAAGGCCACAGGAUACUGCAGCAUUGGUCAUGCUCUCCUUCCAGGUUGGGAAAAUGAUUUUCCAUAGUGGAGAAAGCAUCUUUCACAAUCCAGAUCUCUUGCAGGAGGGAAUCUGAUUUUGUUGAUGUUUUCAGGCCGACUUGGGUUUUAGCUUGCCUUGUUUUGCAAGGAUGAGAACAUUUUGUGCUGAUGAAAUCGUUCGGCUUAAUUGCACACUAAAAGCAUGUUGAUGUUUAUAUUAUGUGAGUAUUAAUUUUAAUCUCCAAUAUUAAUCAGUAGCAAUGUAAACAAUGUAUUGAGUAUUAUCCUUGCCAGGCUCUAUUUGUAUGUAAUUCAACAUUUACAACAGGUGUUUAAUAUUUUAUAUUGUGUGGCAAUAUUUCUCUGUCAUUGUUCAUCAGGGACAGGAAAAGAAAUAAAGGGUCUGAAGUGCAGUGAAGGAGUUUUCCUUAUGGGAAGGGCAGUGAAACUCCUUUUUUUUUUCCCAGCUUUCCACUUGGGGAAGGGAAAUUCCAGAAGUGGAACCCUGUGGGAGGAAUUGCUGAUAAAACAGCCCUGGAAACUCCAGAGUUGAUUACCUCAAAGGAAAAGUUUUCUGUAUUUUGCAGAAAAUGAAGAAGAUUAAAGGCAAAACCUAGACUGGCCAAAUUUUGCUUUGAUGGGGAUGUUGAUUUGGUUAAGUAGCUGCCCAGAAAUCAUGAUUCAACACGUCUUGCUCCCCUUCACCUAAAUUUUAACUGUUACCUCCCUGGCUGGACUGAAGGCCACACGUUCGGAGCUGGUUGAUGGCAUGUGUCUGAGAAUCAAGGCUAAAAACCUCUGUGUGAUAAAUUUAUCAUAGAAUCCUAGACUCCUAGAAUGGCCUGGGUUGCAAAGGACCACAAUGCUCAUCCAGUUCCAACCCCCUGCUAUGUGCAGGGUCGCCAACCAGCAGCCCAGGCUGCCCAGAGCCACAUCCAGCCUGGCCUUGAAUGCCUGCAGGGAUGGGGCAUCCACAGCCUCCUUGGGCAACCUGUUACUUAUAUUUUUGCUUGUGACUUUCAGCCAAGUUUAGAGGCCAGAGGGAGCGACCUGCCACCAUUCGUCUUUGGCGUCACUGCCUGGGGAUGGAGAUCUUAGUGCAGAUGUCUACUCUUCAGUGUAGAAGAUGCUUUGGAACCUUAUUUUUGGUUUCCAAAGGGAAACAGCUCUUGCUUCUCAGAGCUGGAGGAGGGCUAAUGCAUCCGGUUGUCUUCAAAAGUUAUCUGAGCAGACAUGCAAAGCGUUACAUAAGAGCUGAACACUGCUAUUACUUUUAAGAACUUAAUCAUAGAAGGUUUUUUUUUAUAUACAUAUGUUUUUGGACUUUUAAACUACAGUGGUAUUAUUAUUAUUAUUAUUAUUGUGAUUAUUUUUCAGGAAACCAUUUAGUUAAAUUAUAUUUUAAUAUUGUUCCAACAGACGUGAGUACAGGAAAUAAAGCAGCCACAAUUUCUGCACAUAAGCACUGAUUUGCAUUAUAUUUCCCCACCAAAAAAAUGUAUAUUCGUAGUUGCUAUGAAACCAGAAGUUUUGCUUAGAUCAGAUCAUUUUGUUCUGUUGUCAUGAGUAAAGGAACGGGAUGAACAAUGCACCGCUAAUGGUUUUCGCUUUAAAUCUGCUUAAAGAAAACCUUUCACCUCCCACACUUUCCCAACAAAUAAGGUUUUUUUUUUUUUAAUGGGGUUUUUGGUAAGUUUAGUGCUGGUGAAAGUGCCUUCUGCAGAAUAGGUGGGAGAGGCAGCAAGAAGGGUGCUGGGGCCGUGUGUUGGCCCUUGGGAUUUUGCAGGGAGCUGUUCCUGGGAUCUAUCACUGAUUAAGAGUUCCUUUUGGUUUUGCUCUGGUUGGUGCCCUGAGCAAUAUCUGGGGCUCUGAAGGUCCUGUGCCUUGGGGGAGAGCAGACCGGAGGUGUGAUUUUUGUUUGGACAACCUUUUCUGGUCGUCUUGUUGAAGAAAGCUGUGAUUCAUUGGAACAGGUUGCCCAAGGAGGCUGUGGAUGCCCCAUCCCUGGAGGCAUUCAAGACCAGGCUGGAUGUGGCUCUGGGCAG
ensembl:lncRNA